GUGGCAAGGGCAGGAAGGAGAGUAGCGGCGGAUUUCUGGCAUCUCUAAUUUACCUAGUCUAAGUGGUUCCCUAAAAGGGCUCCGAAAGUUGUAGGAACUGGGGACGUUUCAGAAACACCCGCUACAUUCCUGAGACUUUACUCCAUCUAAAGAAAAGUCAUAGUGAGGGGCAGUCACUGUGGAGUGGAACUUGAAAUAGCUUUAUUUUUCUCAGAAGGCUUCCCAGUUGUCUUUAGGGGUGGAAUGGGAAGCCCGCUGGAAUAAGACAGAAUAGGUUAGAUUUCAGUCAGUUGCUAGAGUUUAGGGUCCUAAGGAGGAAUUUGUCUGCAUAAUUUCUAGACCCGGCAGAAGAAUCAUUCUAAGAAUACCUUUUUUGAAAGUAACCGCCAAUAUGAAAUGUUCACGUUUCAAACUUGAGUUAAAAAAAAAAAACAAAAUCUUAUUUAAGAUUUAAAAGGAAGCCAAUUUUUUACACAAUUUCUGAAAUCUAUUUCUGCACUCUAGUGCUGAGCCCGGUAUGGCUAUGGUGGGGACAGAGUGACAUGGUUCCUGCCCUUGGGACAAGUCCUCCAGUGUGAGCCUCCAUGAGUGUGAUGGCUGCUGUGGAGAUUUCAGUAAUGAAGGCGGAUGGCUAUGGAGGAGGGAACCCUCUGAAGGUGUAAACAACCCGAGCAGUACACGCAUAUCACAGCACACAUGUGGCGGUCAGAAGACAAUGUCUGCUGCCAAUUACUGCCUUCCACUUUGUUUGAGAUGGAACCACAGGAGUAAACGUGGGCAACCCAAAAGCCUGCUCACCGAGUCCUCUUCUCAGGAUUUCCUGGACCAGGCACCAAGAGACAGAGCUAGGAGUCUCUCUCUAUGCACUGUAGCUGAAGGAGCCACUGAGGAAAAGUUCAGAGUAACGAAGGGUCCUCUGGCGUGCCUUGGAACAAGAUGAAGCAGACCCCGUGACUGAAGAACAGGCGAAGCUGGGCUGAUCUUGGGAAGAAACGGACCUCGGAUACUCUAGGCAAGUGCCUUAGCUUUAAUACCCUGGCCUGAGGAAAGAUGAUUUUCUCCCUAGAAUUUAUUACCCAGACAUGAACAGGUGCAAGAAGGGCCUGACAAUGUGUUGACCAACUGACACCAAAAGACUUCUGACUCCUGAGCCCUUAGUUCCAGUCUGCUGAGUCACCACUAAUGUUUGCCUGCACGUGCACCAGGAGUGUUCCUGGGGUCUAAGGAAGCUGGAAGAAGGCAUUGAAUCCUCCGGAACUGUAGUUACAGGUGUUUCUAAGACACCAUAUUACUGCUGGGAAUGGACCUGAGUCCUCUGCAAGACCAGCAAAUGCCCUCCCUUAACUGCUGGACCACCUCACCAACUCUGAAAAGUUUUCUUCAAAAUGCGGCUUAAGUGAAGAGGGAACCAGCACAGGGCGAAGAUGACAACCAAGCAGAAGACAGUCUUUGCCACUUCUCGACGCUAAGGGCAAGUUCAUGCAAACAAAGAUAAAGUUUUCAAAGAUCUGCUGUUUGCAAACAGAGGAUAAGGGGAGGAGUUUUCAGCAGUGCUGGUUAGAGGCACUUGGCAUGUUGACGAACGAGUGACUCCAACUGAAGCCUUACCAGCCUCCGAGGCGACUCGUGGACUGACCAGCCAGAGUUUAGGAACUAUCUGGACCUCUUCAUUUGGGUUCAGACUGCUGAGACUGGCUUUACCAGGCAGCAGGUCCAACACACAGCAUUUGGUUUCAUUGUGCAUCCAAGGCUGACCUGGAACAAACACAUAGUCAAAGCUGGCCUUGGAUUUGUGAAUCCUUACAUCAUUCUUCUGGGUGCCAGGAUCACAGAUAAUGUACCACCCCCAGCUCAGUUGACUUUUUCUGGCACCUACUAGAAUUGGACGCUGUCUUUGGGGCUGGCGAUGACCUAGUGGUUAAGAACGUUUGUGGCUCUUGGCGAAGACCUAGGUUCCAUUCUCAGCACCCAUGUUGGACAGCUCAUGACCUGUUAACUCCAGUUAUAGGGGAUCAGAUGCCCUCUUCCAGCCUCUGUGGCACCUGCACACACACACGUGUAAAAUAAAAUAAUUCUUU
ensembl:processed_transcript